rnacentral:rRNA from 1 species
AAAACAUUUCUAUUAGAAAUCAUUAAUAGUAAAAUCUGCUCAAUGAAAAUUAAAUAGCCGCAUUUGUGCUAAGGUAGCAUAAUAAUUUGUCUUUUAAUUAAAGACUAGAACAAAAGAUUUAACAUCUUAGCUUAUUUCUCGAAUUUAAAUAUUAAAACUAUUUUAAAUGUAAAAAAACAUUUAUUAUAUAGAAAGACGAUAAGACCCUAUCGAACUUCACUUCAGUUUAACUGGGGCAGUUAAUUAAUUAUAAUUUUAAUUUUCAAUACAUAACAAAUUUGACCUAAUAUAAUUAAUAUUAUAAACAAGUUACCGUAGGGAUAACAGCGUAAUAAAAUUUAUAAGAUCUUAUUUAAAAUAAAGAUUGCGACCUCGAUGUUGAUUUAAUUAUCCUAAUUCACGCAAUAGUAAACUAAGGAAGUCUGUUCGACUUUUAAAAAAUUACAUGAUUUGAGUUCAGACCGGUGUAAACCAGGUCGGUUUCUAUCUUCUAAAAAUAUUUCUUCUAGUACGAAAGGACCUAAGAAAUUAAAUUCAUU